GAUGAACGCUGGCGGCGUGCCUAAUACAUGCAAGUCGAGCGAACAGAUAAGGAGCUUGCUCCUUUGACGUUAGCGGCGGACGGGUGAGUAACACGUGGAUAACCUACCUAUAAGACUGGGAUAACUUCGGGAAACCGGAGCUAAUACCGGAUAACAUAUUGAACCGCAUGGUUCAAUAGUGAAAGGCGGCUUUGCUGUCACUUAUAGAUGGAUCCGCGCCGUAUUAGCUAGUUGGUAAGGUAACGGCUUACCAAGGCAAUGAUACGUAGCCGACCUGAGAGGGUGAUCGGCCACACUGGAACUGAGACACGGUCCAGACUCCUACGGGAGGCAGCAGUAGGGAAUCUUCCGCAAUGGGCGAAAGCCUGACGGAGCAACGCCGCGUGAGUGAUGAAGGUCUUCGGAUCGUAAAACUCUGUUAUCAGGGAAGAACAAAUGUGUAAGUAACUGUGCACAUCUUGACGGUACCUGAUCAGAAAGCCACGGCUAACUACGUGCCAGCAGCCGCGGUAAUACGUAGGUGGCAAGCGUUAUCCGGAAUUAUUGGGCGUAAAGCGCGCGUAGGCGGUUUUUUAAGUCUGAUGUGAAAGCCCACGGCUCAACCGUGGAGGGUCAUUGGAACUGGAAAACUUGAGUGCAGAAGAGGAAAGUGGAAUUCCAUGUGUAGCGGUGAAAUGCGCAGAGAUAUGGAGGAACACCAGUGGCGAAGGCGACUUUCUGGUCUGUAACUGACGCUGAUGUGCGAAAGCGUGGGGAUCAAACAGGAUUAGAUACCCUGGUAGUCCACGCCGUAAACGAUGAGUGCUAAGUGUUAGGGGGUUUCCGCCCCUUAGUGCUGCAGCUAACGCAUUAAGCACUCCGCCUGGGGAGUACGACCGCAAGGUUGAAACUCAAAGGAAUUGACGGGGACCCGCACAAGCGGUGGAGCAUGUGGUUUAAUUCGAAGCAACGCGAAGAACCUUACCAAAUCUUGACAUCCUUUGACCACUCUAGAGAUAGAGUUUUCCCCUUCGGGGGACAAAGUGACAGGUGGUGCAUGGUUGUCGUCAGCUCGUGUCGUGAGAUGUUGGGUUAAGUCCCGCAACGAGCGCAACCCUUAAGCUUAGUUGCCAUCAUUAAGUUGGGCACUCUAAGUUGACUGCCGGUGACAAACCGGAGGAAGGUGGGGAUGACGUCAAAUCAUCAUGCCCCUUAUGAUUUGGGCUACACACGUGCUACAAUGGACAAUACAAAGGGCAGCUAAACCGCGAGGUCAAGCAAAUCCCAUAAAGUUGUUCUCAGUUCGGAUUGUAGUCUGCAACUCGACUACAUGAAGCUGGAAUCGCUAGUAAUCGUAGAUCAGCAUGCUACGGUGAAUACGUUCCCGGGUCU
rnacentral:rRNA from 1 species